rnacentral:sRNA from 1 species
GUUCAGCCACUGAGGGGAAGGAUGAGAAGCUUCGACCAAGGUUCGAUUCGAGCGCAGCGAGAAAGCGUUGCCGCAGGCAACGACCCGAAGGGCGAGGCGCAACGCGCCGAGUAAUCCUUCCCCCACCACCA